GCAGCGAUGGCUCAGUGGUAGAAUUCUUGCCUUCCAUACAAGAGACCUGGGUUCAAUUCCCAGCCGAGGCA
rnacentral:tRNA from 1 species